UCGGGCGUCCGGGCAGUCGCCGUGCUUUCGGGCACGGAGGAAAGUCCGGUCUCCGCAGGGCAGCGUGCCGGCUAACGGCCGGGCGGCAUCCCCGCGAGAGGGUGUCGACGGACAGUGCCACAGAAAAUACACCGCCCCGGUUCGCCGGGGUAAGGGUGAAAUGGUGCGGUAAGGGCGCACCGCGUCGCGGGCGACCGGGACGGCAGGGUAAACCCCACGCGGAGCAAGGCCAAAUAGGGGGCGAUGCGGCGGCCCGCCGCGCUUGAGUUCCGGGUAGGUCGCUAGAGGCGUCUGGCAACAGACGUCCCAGAUGAAUGGCUGCCGCCCGCCUGCGGGCGGGUACAGAAACCGGCUUACAGGGCGUCCGAUCCU
rnacentral:RNase_P_RNA from 1 species